AUUGAACGCUGGCGGCAUGCCUUACACAUGCAAGUCGAACGGCAGCACGGGAGCAAUCCUGGUGGCGAGUGGCGAACGGGUGAGUAAUAUAUCGGAACGUGCCCAGUCGUGGGGGAUAACGUAGCGAAAGCUACGCUAAUACCGCAUACGAUCUAUGGAUGAAAGCGGGGGAUCGCAAGACCUCGCGCGAUUGGAGCGGCCGAUAUCAGAUUAGGUAGUUGGUGAGGUAAAGGCUCACCAAGCCGACGAUCUGUAGCUGGUCUGAGAGGACGACCAGCCACACUGGGACUGAGACACGGCCCAGACUCCUACGGGAGGCAGCAGUGGGGAAUUUUGGACAAUGGGCGCGAAGCCUGAUCCAGCAAUGCCG
rnacentral:rRNA from 1 species